CGUGGAUUGUAGACAAAGAACACACACCACUGUGCGACAACGGACAGAUAUGAAAAUUAGUUGUACCUUUUCACAGCUACGUGGCGAUAGUGUUUCGAGAUCUAUAAAUCGAUCAAAUUUUUAUUUCGAUGAAAGAUCGACGAAAAUAACCUAAUAUUUAUGAAUGAAAGUGUACAUAUGACAACCAGGUUAUGUAGAGAAAUAUGUUUAAGCGAUUGGUGCCUGUGUUAUUUAAUGACAGUUAAUUGUAUUAAUUCAGAUAAUCUUCAUUAAGACAUCGAUAAGAUAAGCUUUGGUAAGAUUUUGAUAAGCUAUGUCUUUCUCUGGACUUUGUUGUGAAAAGAAAUAUUUAAUUGACUCGUAUAAAGGAAUAUUCUCAGUUAAUUUAAAUACACUUUAUGUCAUAACAAUUAAUUAAUUAAUCGAUAUAAGCUGUAUUAAGUCUUCAAUAAGAUGUUCUCGUGAAAAGAAAUACUUAAUCACGCCAUGUAAAGGCAUAAGACCCAUAGAAGCAUAAAGGCACGAUGAACUGAGAGCGUGGAGUAGAAGUCGGAGAUUAACGACGCGAAGGAAAAGCCGUGUUUCCAAAUGACUGCGUUGCAACGGGGAUUUACUACAUUUGCUGCAUCUAUAAUUAUAGGUAUCUUAAUUUUGGGACGAACCUUCGUUUAAUGUAUAGUUAAUUACAGCUUUUUCAUAUUAUUUUUUCCAAGACAGAAAAUUUCUUAAUGGAAAAAUUGAGUCGGACUAAAGAUGGACCAAGAUUUCGUAUUAUUAUUUAAUUUAAAAAUAUCCAGGAGCAAAAAAUAUAGAAAGGUCAAUCCAUCCGCAAGGUUUUGCGAUGAAAGCGUGUCGCGCUCGUGCAAACGAUUAAUUCUAUUCCCAGUGGUAUGAAACUUGCGGUGAGCUCCAUUAUUACGGCAAACAUAGUAUUUUCCACGGUGGAAAAUCCCUUAGGAGGUAUUUUUCACGGAACUAUGUAGGUACCAGAAACAUUAAUAAUUCAGAGAAAGCCAUCGUCGACUGCAACAUUUUUAACUAGGCUUUUAAAACACUACUCGUAUCUCGAUAUUUUUCACGUUCAUAUUUUUCUAUAAAAAUUUGAUAAAACUUGUCUCAGAAAUUAUAUAAUUCUAUACUUACGAAUAAUUCAAUAAAUUCAAUAAUUAGAUCUAUUUAAAUUGCAUCGAGACUGCGAAUAGAAAUCUUGUAUGCAAAUUACUAUGAGUAGGUGGUCUUCUCAUUUCGUAUUCGAUCGUUCGAAGAAUAUCAAACAAAUCAUUAGUAAAAUAUUCGAUAUCGUUAGCCUAGCGAUAUUUCGGUGAAUCGACCAAAUUUCACUUUUCAGAGAACCUUAAUUUCCAUAAAAGGAAAUUCUGAAGCUUGACAUCGAUUUCAAGGUGCAUUUCUCAAAGAUGGGACUUCGGAAACCCCUGAAUAUGCCUGUCUAAUGAAAUGUAACAGAAAUCUACACAAUAUUAGGGUGAAAAUCAUGAGGCUAACGUGGUUGUUUUGUUAUGCUAAUAUAACGUGGCUUGACAUCGUGUUUCAAUUGAUUUUUCUUCGCGGGUAACGUACAAUAGUAUAAAUAGUUUCUCCAAUGUGGAAUUAUCUUCUAUUUCCUUGAAUUUCAACCAUUACAAACCAUUUUUAGUAAUCCUCUAUCGAUAUUUUGAGAAACCAUUGUUUACAUUUAUAUUAUUACUUACUUACAGACUGAGGAUAUUAUCGAAUAAUAAGAUCAAUAUCAAACAA